ACUGUUUUUAAAUUUGUUUCAUGCUUCGCUCAAAUACAGCCAACAAAUCUUAUACAGCUUAACUGUGCUUUAUUUUGUUGUUGUUGUCCAAACAGAUAUUAGAUGGCAUAUAAUAGCAAAUUUUGAUGUAUAUAUAUAUGACAUUUUCGUUUAUCCGAUGAGGUGCAAAAAUUUACAGAGGAGGAGAGAAGUAAACAAAUCAUCAGCGUCGUUUCGGGAAAUAAUAACACUUUUUGGUCUGACUUGGUCAAGUCUGAUGUGUCUCCGGUUCGAUCGGUUACUGGAAGAACCAAAAUCAUCUCAUUCUAUUUCUACUAUAUUGGGCCUUCUUUCAGGAAGUCUUUUUUGUUUUGUAUUUCAAAGAAUUUUGAAAAUAGGAUUUAGAUUUAUAGAUUGAAACCUGACCACAGUUAAACGAAUUUAGACAUUUUGUUCUCUUUUGAAUUAACGUGUAAGGGCAUGGGCAUUGGAGGGUUUAUGGCAGUCCCCCAACCAAAACAAAUAAAGACAAAAAAAAAAAAGGACGUACCUCCAAACGGGAUGGUUCCUUGGCUUUUGUUUCACCAAUCGCGAGCUCCACUUAAAGAAAAUCUGAAAAGGUAAAAAUCUAGGACCAAAUGCAGUCCAAACCGAUGCAUUUGCUCUUAGAAGAACGACUGGUUCAAUUGUCUAGAAAUAGUAGCAUAUUAAUUUAUUUUUCCUCCUAUUUUUUCGAUUAAAAUUUGGAUUUUUUUUUUCCGGGAAUUUUAUACUUUACUUAGCUC
rnacentral:lncRNA from 1 species